GCCCCAGGUCCGUAGGGCGAAAGCCCACGAACUCCGUCAGGACCUUGCCGGUAGCAGCGGUAAGUGUGGUGAUCGUUGCUGCGGGUCGCCUGGGGCAUU
rnacentral:SRP_RNA from 1 species